UACGUAGGGUGCAAGCGUUAAUCGGAAUUACUGGGCGUAAAGCGUGCGCAGGCGGUUGUGCAAGACAGUUGUGAAAUCCCCGGGCUUAACCUGGGAAUUGCAUCUGUGACUGCACGGCUAGAGUGUGUCAGAGGGGGGUAGAAUUCCACGUGUAGCAGUGAAAUGCGUAGAUAUGUGGAGGAAUACCGAUGGCGAAGGCAGCCCCCUGGGAUAACACUGACGCUCAUGCACGAAAGCGUGGGGAGCAAACAGG
rnacentral:rRNA from 1 species